GUCUCCGUAGCUCAGCAGGAUAGAGCACAGGUUUCCUAAAAUUGGGCACCCGUGGCGGAAACGCCCGGUGUGAAUCCGCUCAAAGUCGGGGAAAGCUUCGGCCCGCAGCUUCGGCUUGCGGCCAUGCCAAUCCCGAGCCAAGCCUUCCGGCCCAUGCAUCCGCAGGUCCGCGAAGGAAGGUGUAGAGACUAGACGGGCGGCGCCUAAAGCCUUUCGGGAAAACCCGGCGGGCCACGGCGAAGGGAUAGUCCAGACCACGAACGCCGGCCGCCUUCGGGCGCGCAGCCGGCGGCGGCGAAAGCCGAGGUGGGAUGAAACCUGGGGUCGCGUGUUCGAGUCACGCCGGGGACACCA
rnacentral:tRNA from 1 species